rnacentral:lncRNA from 1 species
AUGGAUCCAGCCAAGCUCAGCGUCUACAGCGGUGGGGGAAAUGACUCAACGAUGGAGGAAACGUCGGGGCCGUGGCACAACGGGGUGGACGGGGAGCAGCAGAGGGACCUGGAGGCCAGGGAGCCGGAUGUUGUGGACGGCGUGCUGACAGCUGCAGAGAUAAACAAUCACUGCAGGGGGCCAGCAGACAAAUACAAGUUCAGCGCAUACGGCUACCAGAGGAAGACCAAGGAGAAGGUUGUGAGUGACUUUUCCACACUGAGCAAGGGAACUUCUGUUGGAGCCAAACCCAAAGCGGCACUGAGACAGGUCCUGUUCAGUCAGGGGGUGUCGGAGAAAACCGCUGCAUCUGAGGUAUCAACGUCUCCCGUCUCCUCGGGCCACUAA